AACUUUUACUGGAAAAAUUUUAUAUUAGCGCCUAAAUUUUUGCCCAAAUCUAUUACUUCUUCACACGGUUCUUUCUCUUUUUUGCUCUCCCUCUGUCUCUCUCUCUCUCACAUAGAGAAUCAAUCACCACCGCCCCUCAUCUCAGCACUGCACACGACCAGUUGGGAAGAACCCAAUCAUUGAUAUUGAGAGUUUUGGGGUUUCAAGAGUUUUGUUGCCGAGAGAGAUAUUUGGGAAGAACCCAAUCGUUGAUAUCGUCGGUGGUGGCACUCAGCCGCCGGAUGUUUCAUUUUCGCCGGAGAAUUCGCCAGAAUUGUAUGUGCCGCCGAGUCAUUUAUUAUCGUCGCUGGGUAAGAAAUCCGAUCCAAAGCGACCGGGAAUGGCGUACAAAGAUCCGUUCUUGCUCUUUGUUGUAUAGCAUUGUAUCUAUAGCUACACGGGCAUGGAGUCAACCUGUGAUAAAAGGCACACCACCGGUGCCCAAGGAUAGCCAUAGCUGUACCACUGUGGUAGAUAAUCUAUUUGUGUUUGGGGGUACAGAUGGAAUGAACCCUCUUAAGGAUUUGCAUAUCUUAGACACCUUAUCAAAUACAUAGAUCUCACCAACUAUAAGAGGUGGGGUACUAAAGGCACGGGAAGGCCACAACGCGGCACUAAUUGGCAAACGACUUUUCAUAUUUGGUGGCUGCAAAAAAUCUUCAGAUAAUUCUGAUGAAAAGCUUUAUGAUGAUCUCUACAUUUGAAUACGGGGCUCUUGAUUUGCAUGAAUCCUAGCCACUUGACCCCAGCUUUGUAGUAGUUUGAUUCAGAGAACAAAGUGGAAAAGAAAAGGUUAUUACUCACCUUCCUUCUCGUUUAUGUAGAAACUUUUGUAUGGGCAUGCGCUGUAACAUCAGGUGCUCCUCCACCUCUAAGUGUGAUAGCCAUACAUGCUCAUCUUGGAAGAGCAAAAUCAUUGUAAUUGGUGGUGAAGACGUAUAUUAUCUCUCUGAUGUUCAUAUCCUUGAUGCAGGUAUCAAUUCUUCUUGAAAUUACCCAUAUUGACUGAUUGCCAAGAUAGAAUAAAAACUAAAACUUUCAAUUUGCUUGAGCCUGUAGUAAUUAUAUCUAGUUAAUAAAUAUAGUAGUGGCACUGUUUUAAUAGAUGCUCUUAUGAGGGGGAAGCUGAACACUUCAGGCCAACUCUUGCCACCUCGAGCUGGGCAUAUAACUGUUGCCUUGGGAAAGAACUUGUUUGUCUUUGGGGGUUUCACUGAUGAGUCAAGCCUAUACGAUGACAUUCAUAUGCUUGAUGUCGGUAUGUAAUGAAAUGACCGUGCUUCUUAGGUUUAGAUCAUAAAGUUGUUAGUAUCUCUUUCUUAUCAUUGUAAACUAUACUUUUGAGUAAUAAAAUAGCCCCUGAACCACCAUGUGGCUCUCACGGGCCGCUUCCCCGAACAACCGUGUGUCUCAGACGGAUAGCUUCGCCAUGACAAAUAGGACUUGUGAAAAUUGAUGGAACGUAAUUUAGACUCGUAGGUUGGGAGUUAGAGCCAAAUACGUCCAAAACUUAGUCGGAAAAAGGGCGUUUCGGGGGCAAAAAUUCAAAACAAUCCCUGAACGACUGUGUGGCUCACACGAAUAGCUUCACCAUGACAAAUAGGACUUGUGAAAACUAACGGAACGUAAUUCAGACCCGUAGGUUGGGAGUUAGAGCUGAAUGCCCCCUAAACUUAGUUGAAAAAGGGCAUUUCGGGAGCGAAAAAUCAAAAUAGCCCCCAAACGACCGUGUGUCUCACACAGAUAGCUUCGCCAUGACAAAUAGGACUUGUGAGAAUUGACGGAACGUAAUUCGGACCCAUAGGUUGGGAGUUACAACCGAAUACGCCCUAAACUUAGUUGAAAAAGGGCGUUUCGGGGGCGAAAA